GAUGAACGCUGGCGGCGUGCCUAACACAUGCAAGUCGAACGGAGAUUACGGACGGAAGUUUUCGGAUGGAAGCCUGUAAUUCUUAGUGGCGGACGGGUGAGUAACGCGUGGGCAACCUGCCCUAUACAGGGGGAUAGCAGCUGGAAACGGCUGGUAAGACCGCAUAAGUCGGUUAAAUCGCAUGAUUUGAUCGGGAAAUGAGCAAUCAGGUAUAGGAUGGGCCCGCGUCCGAUUAGCCAGUUGGCAGGGUAAAAGCCUACCAAAGCGACGAUCGGUAGCCGGACUGAGAGGUCGGACGGCCACAUUGGGACUGAGACACGGCCCAAACUCCUACGGGAGGCAGCAGUGGGGGAUAUUGCACAAUGGAGGAAACUCUGAUGCAGCGACGCCGCGUGAGUGAAGAAGUAUUUCGGUAUGUAAAGCUCUAUCAGCAGGGAAGAUGAUGACGGUACCUGGCGAAGAAGCCCCGGCUAACUACGUG
rnacentral:rRNA from 1 species